GAUGAAGAACGCAGUGAAAUGCGAUACGUAAUGUGAAUUGCAGAAUUCAGUGAAUCAUCGAGUCUUUGAACGCACAUUGCGCCCCCUGGUAUUCCGGGGGGCAUGCCUGUCCGAGCGUCAUUGCUGCCCUCAAGCACGGCUUGUGUGUUGGGCCUCCGUCCUCCUCCCGGGGGACGGGCCCGAAAGGCAGCGGCGGCACCGCGUCCGGUCCUCGAGCGUAUGGGGCUUCGUCACCCGCUCUUGUAGGCCCGGCCGGCGCUUGCCGACACAUCAAUCUUUUUUCCAGGUUGACCUCGGGUCAGGUAGGGAUACCCGCUGAACUUAAGCAUAUCAAUAAGCGGAGGA
rnacentral:misc_RNA from 1 species